rnacentral:rRNA from 1 species
UACGUAGGUGGCAAGCGUUGUCCGGAAUUAUUGGGCGUAAAGAGCGUGUAGGCUGUUCGGUAAGUCUGCCGUGAAAACCUGAGGCUCAACCUCGGGCGUGCGGUGGAUACUGCCGGGCUAGAGGACGGUAGAGGCGAGUGGAAUUCCCGGUGUAGCGGUGAAAUGCGCAGAUAUCGGGAGGAACACCAAUGGCGAAGGCAGCUCGCUGGGACGUUACUGACGCUGAGACGCGAAAGCGUGGGGAGCAAACAGG